GAAACAACCCAGACCGCCAGCUAAGGUCCCAAAGUCAUGGUUAAGUGGGAAACGAUGUGGGAAGGCCCAGACAGCCAGGAUGUUGGCUUAGAAGCAGCCAUCAUUUAAAGAAAGCGUAAUAGCUCACUGGUCGAGUCGGCCUGCGCGGAAGAUGUAACGGGGCUAAACCAUGCACCGAAGCUGCGGCAGCGACGCUGAUGCGUUGUUGGGUAGGGGAGCGUUCUGUAAGCCUGCGAAGGUGGCCUGUGAGGGUUGCUGGAGGUAUCAGAAGUGCGAAUGCUGACAUAAGUAACGAUAAAGCGGGUGAAAAGCCCGCUCGCCGGAAGACCAAGGGUUCCUGUCCAACGUUAAUCGGGGCAGGGUGAGUCGACCCCUAAGGCGAGGCCGAAAGGCGUAGUCGAUGGGAAACGGGUUAAUAUUCCCGUACUUGGUGUUACUGCGAAGGGGGGACGGAGAAGGCUAUGUUGGCCGGGCGACGGUU
rnacentral:rRNA from 1 species